rnacentral:rRNA from 1 species
CCUACGGGUGGCAGCAGUGAGGAAUAUUGGUCAAUGGACGAGAGUCUGAACCAGCCAAGUAGCGUGAAGGAUGACUGCCCUAUGGGUUGUAAACUUCUUUUAUAUGGGAAUAAAAUGUUCCACGUGUGGGCUUUUGUAUGUACCCUAUGAAUAAGGAUCGGCUAACUCCGUGCCAGCAGCCGCGGUAAUACGGAGGAUGCGAGCGUUAUCCGGAUUUAUUGGGUUUAAAGGGUGCGCAGGCGGAAGAUCAAGUCAGCGGUAAAAUUGAGAGGCUCAACCUCUUCGAGCCGUUGAAACUGGUGUUCUUGAGUGAGUGAGAAGUAUGCGGAAUGCGUGGUGUAGCGGUGAAAUGCAUAGAUAUCACGCAGAACUCCGAUUGCGAAGGCAGCAUACCGGCGCUCAACUGACGCUCAUGCACGAAAGUGUGGGUAUCGAACAGGAUUAGAUACCCUGGUAGUC